GCAGAGGCUCGAGAAAAAACCAAGUGGAGUCGGUGAUUCACUAUGGGAGUCGGCGAUUCACAAAGGUGGAAUCGGCGACAGACACUAGUGGAAUCGGUGACUGCUUUAGGUAGUUUUUCCUUCGAGUCUGGCCGUGGACAGCACUCUUAGCUAGCAGAAUAACCCGCAAUCGGCGAUUCACUAGGUGGAAUCGGCGAUUGCCUGUGUGAAUCGGAGAUUCCUUGACACAAAGUCAGCGACUCACCCUAAGGGAAUCGAGCUGAUCUUUGCGAAGAAAAUUUCGCGAUUACGAUGGGAUAUCGUAGUUCGAUAGUCCCACAGACGGCGCCAGCUGAUGAAGCACGAAAUCUGCUACCAGUAGGCUCGCGGGGUCGCGAGGAGGGCCGGAGGCUUUGGAGUCCACGACGCACGCUCUAC
rnacentral:lncRNA from 1 species